rnacentral:rRNA from 1 species
CACGCCGCGUGAGUGAUGAAGGCUUUCGGGUCGUAAAACUCUGUUGUUAGGGAAGAACAAGUACGAGAGUAACUGCUCGUACCUUGACGGUACCUAACCAGAAAGCCACGGCUAACUACGUGCCAGCAGCCGCGGUAAUACUUUGGGUGCCCGCCCCCGG